rnacentral:rRNA from 1 species
GACAGAGGUGCCAAGCGUUAGGCGGAUUCAUUGGGCGUAAAGGGUGCGUAGGCGGCUUUCUAAGUCUGAUGUGAAAUCCUGGGGCUCAACCCUGGAACUGCAUUGGAUACUGGGAGGCUAGAGAACUGGAGAGGAGACUGGAAUUUACGGUGUAGCAGUGAAAUGCGUAGAGAUCGUAAGGAAGACCAGUGGCGAAGGCGAGUCUCUGGACAGUUACUGACGCUGAGGCACGAAGGCCAGGGGAGCAAACGGG